rnacentral:lncRNA from 1 species
GGCUGCCGUGGAAACCUGUGACAGGAGCUAAUGCAGAUCUGCUGCAGGAUCCUGCUACCUGAGGGGUCUUCACCUGAGCACCAUGGUGAUUACAGGCGAGUUCAGAACAUCUAACAGAAUUCUGCAGCUCGCUCAGCACAAGGAAUCCAAAUCUAUAUGGGUCACCACUCCCGGUAGGAAGCUGACGUGGGGGAACCAGGAGUCAAUAUGGCUGCUCUCCUUGGGGGCGUUAGGAGCCGUUCCCUCUCCGAGGAUUCAGACUUUAGCCCAAAAUAAACCAGAUUUCUCCAACCUGAACCAGAACCUGCACCUGAACCUGUUCAGGGAAAGGGAGGAGGGGGCGGCGAAGACCUCCCGCCCUUCCUGUCGCGAGACCCAGUACGAGCAGGCCGCCCGCAUGGCGACCCCCAGGGCCCGGUCCAGGAGCUCCCAGGUUGUGAGUCCUCUUUCAGACUGGUGUGAGUACAGCUGUCCUGUGUGGCACAUCAGCCCCGGGGUGCAGAAAACCCUCGUAUCUCCCCGUAUCGUCCAACUGGCCCGCCCCAAAACCACACACCCCGACUUCAGGGUCAACCGCCAGGCAGUAGAAACACACAUCACCCACGCAGCUAAAACAGCUCGGAUCACCUCCAGACUGGAGCAGUUGUGUUUACCCAAACUCAGAGAGAGCAGCCUGUUCUACCCUCCCAGCCGCCCCGAGAGCCCCAUCCGGCCUGUGUCGAGAGGAGCGAGCAGGGCGACAGCUAGCGCUCGUGUGAGACAGCUGUCCACCCCCAAGUCCCUCUGUAAGGACUACAUCCCCCCACGGGACCUGGACUGAGCAUAAAAUCUACAUUGAUCAGCCAGAACAUUAAAACCACCUGCCUAACAUUGUGUACUGUAGAUAUCCUUCAUCCCACCAUAUUUAUCAACAAACCUUUAGAGGAAUCACUGCAAUAUGACUUCAAAUAAGUUUGUCUCUAUUAUUUUUUUACUCUUAUUUCAUCAAACAAAUGCUUUUUUAUGCCAUAUGCAUAUCCCCAGUGUAUAUUUAUAGAGAAAGAGAAAAUGGAG